GACGAACGCUGGCGGCGUGCUUAACACAUGCAAGUCGAACGGAAGGGCCCUGCUUUUGUGGGGUGCUCGAGUGGCGAACGGGUGAGUAACACGUGAGUAACCUGCCCUUGACUUUGGGAUAACUUCAGGAAACUGGGGCUAAUACCGGAUAGGAGCUCCUGCUGCAUGGUGGGGGUUGGAAAGUUUCGGCGGUUGGGGAUGGACUCGCGGCUUAUCAGCUUGUUGGUGGGGUAGUGGCUUACCAAGGCUUUGACGGGUAGCCGGCCUGAGAGGGUGACCGGCCACAUUGGGACUGAGAUACGGCCCAGACUCCUACGGGAGGCAGCAGUGGGGAAUAUUGCACAAUGGGCGGAAGCCUGAUGCGGCAACGCCGCGUGCGGGAUGACGGUCUUCGGGUUGUAAACCGCUUUCGCCUGUGACGAAGCGUGAGUGACGGUAAUGGGUAAAGAAGCACCGGCUAACUACGUG
rnacentral:rRNA from 1 species